rnacentral:lncRNA from 1 species
CAGUAUGUUUGUUCUUGUCCAUGUUUGCAUUUAUGCACGCUUGGUGGAACAUAUCUACCUACGUUUACUGAAAUCGACUUUGCUCAUGUUAGAUUUCAUUUCUGUAAUCUUUGAUUCUCAGGCAACGUUAUUAUUUCGAUUUAUUGUUUAUCUCUUUGACAAGAUCACGUUGACUGGUAUGGCACAAAUUAAUAGAGAGGUCGGACUGGGGCUGAGUUUAUUCAGGACUGAGUUAUCAAAAUAUUUGUGAACCGAAAAUGGAUGUUAUGCUAAUGAACUACAAGUUCUAAUUUAAGACUCAAAAUCUGCUUUUACUAUUAUUUCAGUGAUGACUUCCUUAGAGAAAAUUUUUACAUGUAACAUUUUCCAUCAAAAUUAGGUUUUUGUGCAAGAAACUGCCCCCAUUUAUUGACACUAACAGAUUCUAAGUGUACAAGCUUGAGGAAAGCAAACAGAACAAUCACUGCUUAUAAGUUUUGUCAUGAGCAACUCAAGCAACUUCAUGAAGGAACUAUGUAUUUAAUGUUAGUGACCUCAUUGAAUAAUGUGAUUAAAUUCUCCUUCACUCUGAGCAGUUGACAUCUCGAGUCCUCUUGUAUUUGUUUUCUGCUGAUGAUUGAAGGGAACUGACUGGUCAUCUGCUCUGUCUCCCUCAAGAUUUUGCUUAUUUGGUCUGAUCAUAAACUCCUAGAUGCAUAAGCAUUUCUCAGAAUGUUCUUAAAGUAAAAGAUGUCGGCUCCAAGUGGCUCGUGUUCUAUCAAUCCUCACAAUUUAAGCGAAGAAAUCCUCCAACCUUUUCAGAACAAAAGAUAGUUGGUCCCAAACUCUCUGGGUAAUUUCUCUGCACGUUAGAUAAUAAUGAUAUCUAAAGGGGGUGCCCGUGUUUCAUGAGAUUGCUUCAUCUGAGAUGCUUUUACACAAGAUGUUAUGAUCCUUUUCUGAGUUCAGUUGCCCUGACAAUAUAAUUUUGAUAUCCUCUUGCUGUUAAGCUUUUAGCUUAUACUUAUUUUAGAUGCUUCCUAUACUUAGGUACAGUUUUCUGGAUUUUCUCAUUGAUAGAUCUGCAUCAUCGCUGAAUUCUGUGCUGUGGUGGCUUCUCAUCAAAAACAGCAUUUUAAUCCACAUUUAUUAGCAUUUCAAAUUUUGCAAGUGACAUCAUAUUGGAUGUUAUUUUGGUGCAUAUAGCUGUGCUCAACAUGCCAAUGGUUCUUUACAUACUAUAAACUUAACCUUGAAUGCCUGUGAUUUCAAGGAAGCUUGCAGACAAGGUGGCCUCUCGUGGAUUCUAUGUCGUGGUUCUACACUUCAUUUAUGGAGAUCCCUAUGUGCCUGACAAUCCUAAGAGACCAAUUGCAGUCUGGAGACAAUCUCAUGGAACUGUAUGCUUCGAUUUUCAGUUCAAGUCUCUAUCUGUUUAAGGACUUUCUAUACCUUAUGGAUUCUAUGUGGUGGCGGGUUGGUUUCAAAAAGCACGAGUUUACUAAAGAAGCAGAAAAAAUGUUGAUGUCAAUUAAGUAGGACAUCAACAUGCCCCUCCGAUUCAGACCAAAAAAAAAAAAAAAAGAAACACGCCCCUCCGAUUAUCUAUAUUAGGUUUCAAGAACUCAAGCCUCCAACCUCAUCGAUGUCCCCUCUAUUUGCAAAAUCCUUGUUUCAUGGUUUUCAAGAUAAUGCCUCGCCAUUUUUAGUAAGAAAAAUCGCACCUCUCUAUGAAUUCCAUAAAAGAAGAACAGAGAAUUUAAUUCGGAGUAGCAAUCCUUCAUUUGUGCUGAAUAUUUCAUAUCAAAAGGGUUACAAGGCCAUGAUUCCAAAUGUCGAGCACAAUACAAGUUAGCUAGCCUUUUAACAGAAAAUCCUCAAUUAUCUAUGUAACAAGAUUUGAAAUUAGCUCAACAGUUUCCCAAUCGUCACUUUGUGGAUGCAUUCCAAAAAAAAAAAAAAUUCUGCUCAUGCCAGACUUCAAGUAGACGACAGACGCACGACAACAGUGAAAACUCCAGGACAAUCUACCAAGGAGGGAUUCAGAGACAAGAUGGCAACACGCACAUGGUCAUGGUACUCCGUGGGAAGCCCAUCAAUGAGAGUCUCGUCUUUGCUCGUCAAGCACUUCCUUAAAACUGCCCAUCAAAAUUAAGACCCGAGAAGAACUUUCAGAAAUGAGAGAGUUUCAUGAGUACUGAACCUUGAAGUUGGGGAUAUUCGAGGGAAGGACGCGAGAGAACACACCUACGGAGGAGGACGCGCUUGGGGCAGAAUCGCGAGAUGGGGAAGCUCGAGGACUAGGGAAGAGACGGUUAGGCGAGGCGCACAUGUAAGCAGCAGAACCGCGUUUGCCUCCAUCAACCUUCAAUCGAUUCCUCGAAUCAGAGCGAGAGAGAGAAGGAGAGGGGUUAAAUAAUUUAGUUUGGGUUCAGAAAGGAAGGGAAAACAGUUGCCAUGGGAAGAAUUAAAGCAAUUCUGGAUUUAAGAAAAAAAAAGAGUGAGUUAAUUAUUUAAAAGAAAAAGGAAAAAGAAAUAUUAUAAAUUGGAGGCUCUAUUCUGAACAAAAAGAAAAAUUCAUUUGCAGGCUUGUUUUAGUAAAACCCGUUAUUGAAAAUUCUGAUUGAUCUCGGGAUUGGAACACCCAUGGUAGCCGCUCGCAGUUUUGCAACCAUCGUCCACUUCAAAAUAGAUAAAUAAGUAGUUAUGCCGAUUUAGUCAUCGAAUCCAACCAUCAAAGCUGCCAUGUUAAAAUUGUCCGUUCCACUUAUAAGCUCAAUUUGCCGGUUAAGAACGUGAAUGCCGGUUAAAACUCAAUUUGCACAUAAAAUGAGAACUGUAACACUGCUAGACUUGGUUGUGGCAAUGCGGGACCACCAGCAAUAUGAAGUGUUCUUUACUUCUUGGAGAAAAAGGAACAAUCCUAAUUGAGAAGGCACUAGAGGUCACAUAAUAAUUCCUUUUGAAAAGCUUAUAAAAGUUAAUUAAGUCAAUAGUAUGUACAAGAAGAAACCGAAUUAAGUUAUCGAACGAGCUUCCUGUGUUAGUUCAGAGCAAGGUGAAGACUGGAGAGAGAGAUUCCCAGACUGCUUAUGCAUAUGCAAUGUCUUUUACACACGUGAGCUUCCUCUGUUAAUCCAGAGUAUGCUAUGCUAAGCGGAAAUGUUGAGAGGAAAGAAGAGCACAAUCUGGGAAAUCAAAGGAAAGAGCCGUUGUGGUUGGAUACUGUAUGCAAACAGGACAAGGCAAGUGUUCUCCGUCCUCCGGCUCAUAGAAGCGAUCAGGGGUUUGGACAUUCCCUUUUGUCCUUGUAAAGCCAGCAAGGGCCGUUGUGGUUGGAUAGCUUAUUGCAUCUGUCAAUUACUAGAUGACAAACUUCAAAAGCUACCCGAGAUACACAAGGCCACCUCACUAAUGAUCCGCAGGAUCUAAAUUCGAUAGUCCUCGGCUUGUUCAAGUUCAAAAGAUCAGGCAACCUUACUAGAGAACUGCACCUGCCAAUCCUUAUACUUUCCAGCGUUUCUAGUUCGACGAGACCUUGGAUCUCAACUAGCUUCGGGCAGUUCAACAAGCGCAACUCUCUGAGCUGCUUCAAGCCCGACAGACAGGACAACUGCACGAGAAAUAUGCAGUUCGACACAGUGAGUUCCCCCAGAUUCUCCAAUUGUCCGAACCGAUUGAGUGGAAUUUCCACCAGCCAUGAUUUACAUAGCUCUAAACUUAACAAAUAUUUCAAGUCAGAAGGGCGAGAGAAUUCUGCCGAUGAGUUGAAUUUUUUUAUUUUUUUGGUAAGCUGCAACCAUCAAACAGAGAAGAUAUCUCGUUGAAAACCGCCUUGGCAACAGUUGUUUUCCCAAUGCCUCCCAUCCUGUCCAGGGAGCCGCAGUCCAACAAUGGCAUCACAUCUCUGACUCGAUCCUCAAUUCCGACUAAAUGAUUAGGAAGAACCAUUUGUCUCUUCUUCAGCUUAAUAGAAAGCUCUCUAACAAGAUUAUUAACAAGUUUACCUAGGCUGCCAUGCAUAAUAAAGUAUAUAUAUAUAUAUAUAUAUAUAUAUAUAUAUAUAUAUAUAUAUAUAUAUAUAUAUAUAUAUAUAUAUAUAUAUAUAUAUAUAUAUAUACUUCCUUCUUAGUUUGUUAAUCUCUUAUACUUCCUUGUUCUCUCAUAUAGUACUUCGAUCGGACCCAUGUUCAUGGUAUUUGAAUCCAUCCCACUAUUGUAUUUUCGGACAAGUAAAGGUACACCAGGUUUGGUAGAUGUAUUGUAUUCAAAUUCCCAUGCAGUAACCCAUGAGAUUUUGAAUAUAUGAAAAAGUGCGUAAGGCAUUGGAACCUUGUAUCAUGUAGUGUUGGUACAAAGUAUUCACGAAAUAUUUGGUAUCCUUGUUUGAUUGUGGGGUGUAGUAUUACAUCUAAAGGACCAAAGAGAUCCCACCAAGCUCUGACACAAUAAAAGAGUUAAGAUCGAAGUACUAUAUGAGAGAAUAAGGAAGUAUAAGAGAUUAACAAACUAAGAAGGAAAUUAAUCUAAACGUCUACAUUUGUUGUUGUUUGGAUUGUUUUUGCUUGGAUUGUAUCUAAUUCUCAAAUAUCUAACCGUUCCAGAUAUGAGAAGUAGGAAAUUAAUAGGUUCUAUGUCUUCCCAGUUUGAUUCUAAUGGUAUGAAACCAUUUGCUAACCUAAGGGUUUGGUAGAUGUAUUGUAUUCAAAUUUCCAUGCAAUAACCAUGAGAUUUUGAAUAUUAUGAAAAAGUGCAUAAGGCAUUGGAACCUUGUAUCAUGUAGGGUUGGUACAAAGUAUUCAAGAAAUAUUUGGUAUCCUUGUUUGACUGUGGGGUGUAGUAUUACAUCUAAAGGACCAAAGAGAUCCCACCAAGCUCUGACACAACAAAGGAGUUAUGAUCGAAGUACUAUAUGAGAGAAUAAGGAAGUAUAAGAGAUUAACAAACUAAGAAGGAAAUUAAUCUAAACGUCUACAUUUGUUGUUGUUUGGAUUGUUUUUGCUUGGAUUGUAUCUAAUUCUCAAAUAUCUAACUGUUCCAGAUAUAAGAAGUAGGAAAUUAAUAGGUUCUAUGUCUUCCCAGUUUGAUUCUAAUGGUAUGAAACCAUUUCUAACCUAAGGGUUUCUGAGAAUGUAUGUAUAAUAUCAGAAAAUAACUGUAUGGUUAAGACUAAGAUUAAGAAAAAAAUAUAUAAUUAUAAACAUGUAAAAGACUAAAUAAAAUCUUAUGAAUUAAAGAUAAUAGAAAGAGCAAAAGCAACAUAUAAGAUGUAAACGUCUACGUGUGUUGUUGUUUGGAUUGUAUCUAAUUCUCAAAUAUCUAACUAUUCCAGAUAUGAGAAGUAGGAAAUUAAUAGGUUCUAUGUCUUCCCAGUUUGAUUCUAAUGGUAUGAAACCAUUUGCUAACCUAAGGGUUUUUCUGAUAAUGUAUGUAUAAUAUCAGAAAAUAACUGUAUGGUUAAGACUAAGAUUAAGAAAAAGUAUAUAAUUCUAAACAUGUAAAGACUAAAUAAAAUCUUGUGAAUUAAAGAUAAUAAAGAUAAUAUAAAGAGCAAAAGCAACAUAUAAGAUGUAAAGUAAGAGUAUGCAUAAACAAAAACUAACUAUGAAGGUGGUAUGAACUUGUAUUAUAUAAACUAAAAAUUACAUGUAUUGAAAGAUGUAUAAACUAAAGCAUCAAAUCAUCCACUAGGGCGGUAAUCCAUACUCCGGGGAGUAUUGAUGUUUGUGUUAGAAGAAAUGGUUAACCCACUAUCAUGUAAGUUGGUAACCAUCUAUAAACUAUGUUAGAUGUAUUUGAAAACAAACUUACUUUGUAAUAAGAUCUGAAAAUUCGAGUCAUCUUUUUCUGUGUCGAAAUGGUGUAUUUAUAGAAUGUUACAGUGAAAAUGUUACAGUGAUGAACAUUGUAAAGUGAACAGUACUGAGUGAAUAGUGUGUAAAGUGAAUAGUGAACAGUGUAUGGAUAUCUUGCUACAGUGUAUAGGCUUUCUGCCACUGCAACAGUAUUGGCAUGUGAUCAGCAUGUGAUAUCAUGUUGCAGCGGCGGAAAGGCUAUACAUUGUAACAAAAUAGACAUGCAUUGUUCACUAUUCACUUUACACUAUUCACCCAGUAUUGUUCAUUUUUACACUAUUCAACACUGUAGCACUUUUACUGUAAUAUCUCCUAUAAAUAGACCCUUUCGACAUAGAAGAAGGGGACUCAAAUUUUUAAAUAUGAUAUCAUUCUCUCUUCUUCUUCCUCACUCUCUCUUGUAAACCCUUAUCCCUUCAAGCCUCAAGCUUUCUUACCUUGUAUCUCUAGUUACAAAGUAAGUUUAUUUUUAAAUACAUCUAGCAUAGUUUAUACAGGGUUAACCAUUUCUUGUAAUACAAAUAUUAAUACUCAUUGGAGUACGGAUUACCACUCUAGUGGAUAACUUGAUGCUUUAGUUUUUGCAUCUUUCAAAUGAGGUGGUCAAGAUUUUUUAUAGAAGAUGGAUUCUUUGACGAAGAUCCAAUCAAAUUUGCAAAAAAUAUAUUUCCAAAAAAUUGGUUUUUUAAACUACACAAUACAAAUAAAACCAUUCCUUAUUAUGAGCAAAUUUUAGUGGAGACAAAAUCAGCAAGGUUCACUCACUUUGCUAGCAAAAAAUAAUAUAGAAAACAUCAUAUACUCUCCAAUAUAUCCAUUAGCAAAAUCAUACACCCCUCACAUUGGGACCCUCACCUCAUACAUCCAAAAAAUUCCAAGCCCGAUUACCCAAAACCUACCAUACUCCUCCUCAUACACGUAUUAUAUAUAAUAUAUAAUAUAUAAGAGCAUAGCUAGGAAUCUGAGCAUCCCUAACAGCAUCUCUCUCUCCCUAGUGAAUUUGUCCGGUUGAUAUUUAGCAAAGCAGACCGUGUUGGCACGAUACACUCCAGCUUUUUGAAUUUCAGAUAUAGCACAAAACAGCAACAGUCUGAGACUAGCUCAAAUUUCAUUUCUAGCAUAGCAAAUGUCUUUACCAGACCUCUGGAUAUCAUUAAAAUCGACCAUGCUAUGGAACCUUAAAUUGCCAAUCAUAAUUAGCCCUUCUAAGCAUAUUACCGAUUGCAAUCCAUGUAUGUUAAUAAGUUUGGUAGAGAGAGAGAGAGUUUUAAAAAAAGUGUGGAAUGGCCAUUGAAAUUUCUUCUUUUACUUACCCUAAGUUUCGUGCGUCCCAUCCUUUGAGAUCUGCGACCUCCCUUAGAGCCUCCCUCCACUCUCGCACCCUCUCCUCGCCGUAACAACCCUUGUGCCUGAGCAGGUCGUCGCCGUACGGACCCCUCUUGAGCCUGACGUCCGAAGGACUCGCGCCGAAGAAUACAGGCACGAUUUCGUGUCCCGCUGAUCCUCUCCAACACUUCACCAUGCGCGCGAGCUCCUGAAGGCACCACGGGCUACGGAUGCGUAGCCUUCCGAGAAGAUCGGCACGUAAAUCCUCGAGCCGUCGAUUGCACGCUCAAGCUCCCGUGCAAUAUUUUCGCCUACAGGAAGCUCUUCGUCGUCUCUGAAGACGUUAAAUCCAGUAAGAGCCGAAUUAGCCAUUGGGAUUGGUGUAGAGACAAGGCUGAUAGUCGACUAAGAUUUCGUAGAGGACAUCCAUGACCGUGUAGCGAGUGUCAGGACCUCGGAAGCUUAAGAACAUGUUGUACUUGUAGCCGGACGUCGACGCAUCGUCCACGAAAUCCGAUCGCUUUUGCUUUUGAGAAGACGACAUGUGGGACGAGCCGCCGUCCGCUAAAUCUGAUCGCUUUCGCUUUUGAGACGAUGACGCACCGGACGAGCCCGAUGUCGACGCGACGUCCGCGAAAUCUGAUCGCCUUCGCUUUCGCUUUGGCUUUCGCUUUCGAGACGACAUUGUGAACGAGGAAGAAGAGAAGAGGAGGCGAAAUUGAAAAGGCAGAAAAACGACAAAUUUCUCUCGUUGUGUGGUGCGAGGAAGAACCCAAAAGAUAAAGGGAAAAAAGCAGGAAAUAGUUUGCAAUCGAAGAGAAGUGAGUUUAUUCGAGGCGCAUUUCUUCGCAUGUGUAUUUAUAGAAGAGCGAUCAGUUUCGGUGCCUUUCCUCGAAAUUUCGUUCCACGCGGAGCGCAACGGCUACGUUGAAAUCGACAGGCGCGCGCCGAGGGCAACGGCUAGUACUUUGAAAUCGAUAGGCAACGGCUUCUUCAAUCUAGAUGAUGUGGAUAAAGAGGGCUACGUUGAAAAUUGAAAUCCAUGGGCGCGCACUGCUCUCAGGAAGCGGUGCCCCGCGUAUUGUAACUGACGACUUGGAUCGACCAGAAGACCACCAAAACGGCUGUGUUGGAACGAAAGAGUUGAUGUAACCAUGCUAUCGAUAACCGUCAAGGUAGUGUCCUCGAUGUGAUAUAACUGUCGAAUUAUGGAGUUAUGUAACCGUUAAGUAGUAAAGUCGUAAUAAUCACUUAUAACGGCUGAUCAUCGGUUAUAAAACUCCCAAUCGAUUUGUUGCAAAUUUAUCUUCAAUCUUUACUUUUCCACAAUUGAAAUGGCUAGUCACAGUUGACUCCAAUCUUGGUACCUUUAAAUUUCUUACCAUUUACUUUCCCGUCUGAAAUCAACAAAUGACCAUUCCACUCAUCAAUCUAUCAGUACUUUGAAACACAUUUCAUCCACGCUUUUUGGUGAAAUGAUAAUGAAUUCAAUUUCUUAUUUCACUUUUGCAGGAUUGAUUUACGCCACUCUUUCAUUUUGAUCAAAUUAAAAAUUUCUCAUCAUAACUCUUAAAUCCUUUUCGGUCAUUUUGAUUGUAAUUAUGAAAUGUUUUGAGAAACUUAUCAAUUGAUGAAAUCGUACGAUUACAUAAUUCGUUGUAAAAAAAAGGCAGGAUCAGCUACUUUCAUUGUUUCUGCGUCGCGGUAGUAUCUUGCUGCAUUACUUCAAAAACAUCCGACAUCAUUUUUGAACCACACGAAAUAAGUUCGACCCUGAUCAUUGAUCAAGUAAAAUGUUACUCGGAUUCAUAUAGUUAACAGUACACACCACAAAUGAUCCCGCCCCUACUUGUUGUAUACGCCAUACAGUGACUCUUCACCUUUUAUAGGUGACUUUUCUGCGAAAUUAUCUUUUGGCUCCACCAGCCCUGGAAACACGUCGUAACCCCGUCUUCACGUUGCUCUAUUUUUUUAUUUUUUUAUUUUGUAAAGGCAAGUAUAAUUAAAUAGAGAAAGUCACCAUACACAAAAUCCGGUGCCAAACUCUUUCACUCAUAAUGCGAACAUGUAGGAUGAGUGGAAGGGAGCCGAAUUAAAAGCAAGGAAAAGGAAACAAGCCUAGGCAGCAAAAAAAAAAAAAAAAAAAAAACGCCACUAAGCAGAGAAAACAACCCAGCAAACCACCUAACUAGGUGAGAUGAGCGUUGAUUCCAUCAAAAUAGAAGGGUCGAAGCCCCAUCCACGCUGAAGUCGCCUGUUCCUAGAGUUGUCCGGCACGUUGCUGAAGGUAAGAACUUUAUCCUUAACAACUUUAAUAAGGUACUUCCUCAAAGCAGAGACCUCAAGCGCUUUGCCCCGAAAGAUAACGCUGUUCAUUUUCUUCCAAAUUAAGUGGCACAUGGCCCCAAAAGAAAACCGGGCAAUGGAGUGGAAAAAAUCCUUGCCAGAUAGGAACUUGAGGGCCCAACGGAUGGUUUCUGCCCAAGUCCUAUUUCACCAAGGAAUAUUACACCGUGCAGCCCAAAAGAACGCAAGAGCAGGGACAUGGCACUUGAAAAAGAAAUGAUCAAUCCAGUCCGAAGUGGCAUUACAAAAGGCACAUACUUCAUAGUUAAUUCUACCAUAAGAUAAAAGAAAAACCUGAGUAGGUAGGUGGUUCUUGGUAAUUAACCAAAUGUUAAAUUGAAACUUAGGAGCCAUUGACGUGUUCCAAAUGAAGUGGGCCCAGGGAACUCAGUCUUUCUUGGUUCUUAGAACCUCCCAAGCUGAGGCUGCCGAGAAGAUCCCAGAGGACGAUUCACGCCAAGAGAACCUGUCAGGGCUUGAGCAAAGGUCGGAAGAGAAAGAUCCGAACACUCCAGAAGAUAUCGGAAAUGCUGGCCUGCCGGUGAGAGAAAUUCAGCAACCGUCGCUUGUGGAGAAAGACCUGAACUAGCAAUAAGAGAAUCUUAAAGGAAAAGGCUCAGCGGACCUUUCGGUGCCAAUUGUCAUGCCAAAGUGAGACUGACCGACCAUCUCCCACUUUCCAAAAGAAUGAGAGCCUAAAAUCCCUUCACGUUGCUCUGUUACGUCCCCGUGGGAGUGAAACUUCGAAGCAAACGCACAGUUACUACCGAAAUUUGUCGCGGUGAUUUCGACGUAAUUGUCUUCCCCAACGUCUGUACGAAACACGUUACGUUGCGCAUGGAAGGAAACUUCCGAGGUAAUGGCGGCGAAAGCGCGGCCCUCGCCCACUGGGCUUCUCGUUAAAUAUUGUAAUAUUGGCCUUCCUAGUUGACUUAGUCAAAGGAGGUGGGACCUACCUUUAAGAAAAAGAAAAAAAAAAAGGAAAAAGGGGGUUUAAAAGUCAACGAAGCAGGCUUAAGAGGGAGACCGAAAGCACUUCGGGAAAAGAAGGAAAGAAGAAGAAGAGAAGAGGAAAGACGGCUUUGCGUGUUUGGGUCAUGGGGAUCUUACCAAGCCGCUAGAAUUUAGGGCUAAAAUUCGAAAUUUUGGGAAAUUUGAAUCAGCUAAUCCGAUUUUUGCAUUAUCAAUCUAUGAAAUUACAUGGAAAUAGAGAGAGAAUCAUUUUUGCCCAACGGUUUAGUCAGAGCGAAAAUUUAAGUUUUCGCAAACAAGUUUCACGUUGCAUUUAGGCUUGCAUACUCGCUUCGGGUGAGCAAUUUAUUGGCACAUGAGAGUUAUUUUGUUAGCGUUUAAACUUAGUUUAGCCGAACCAUAAUUGAAAUAGCAUUUUACUUAGUUUUGAUGUUAUUUCUCACUUAUAUGAUAAAAAUGUGAGUACGUUGAUUCGAGUGAGCCUUGUUAUUUGGUUUUGGUGCAUAUCCAAGUGAGUGAUACUAUAUCUUAUUUGAAUUUGUAAAGCUUAUGUUCUGAAAAUUCUAUGGAUUAUCUAUAAUAUGAAUUAUGAAAUGGCAUUUUUAUUUCAUAAAAGCUAGAUCGAGUAUUUAUUAUUCUUUGAUUGUUUACGAAUGUUUAGAAAGUGCGUUAUGCAAAGUAUUGUGAACAUGUAUAUGUGACUACUUUGCGACUGGUUUAUGAAAGGGUUUACGACAUGAAAAAGCAAUAUAAAAAAUUGAAGAUUUAUUAAAAUAUUAUUACAAAUUAUUCAUGUCAACGUCGGUGGUGUCACGUUAGCCGACCAACAUCCACAUUGGUAAAAUCUAGCUAAAGUUAGUUGGAAGAAUUGAAUUGGUAGCAAGUCAAAAAGUUUAGGACUAAAUUGAUUCCACUUCAAAAGGUUUAUGACUAAAUUAAUAUUAUUAAAAGGUUUAUGACUAAAUUGGCAGCAAGUCAAAAAGUUCAAGACUAAAUUGACACAAAUACAAUAGAUUUAGGACUUUUCAGACACUUUUCCCUAAGUAAUGUGUUUGGGUUAAACAAUGUUAAGACUCAAGUAAGUAAUGUGUUUGGAGUCAAACAAUGUUACAACCCUAACCUAACCUGAAAUACGUACGCUACUUAUUUUAUAAUCGUUACCCAAACAAUAUUAAGGACCGACCCCAAAAUAAACUUUUUUUUCACGUUCGAAUCAAGCAGGGUCAGAUUAGGUCAGAUUGGGUCAGGUCUUAUUGACACCCCUAGAAAUAAAAACAUCAGAAAGAAAAUAAAGUUUCACUUCCGGUGAAUCAGAGUCUCUCUCCUCUGCUUUCAGAUUUCUGUUGGGGUACCUCUAUUUUUUAGCUGCUAUAGUGAACUAAGAGGCCAUUAGGGAUCAAGUUGCUGCCCUUGCCGACAGUAGCAUCUUCUCGCCUUCACACUGGAAGGCUCCAUAACUGCCGAUGUAAUUUUCCUCAUGCGGAUUGCCUAAGAUGUGGAGGCAAACCGGACCUUGUUUGGAAUCCGGAAGCUUCAAUAUGUGCUCCAGUGUUAUUCAGCUGAUGUCCAGCAGACUUUAAACCUGGCUACUCCGGCAUUUCCUUUCUCAAAGCCACUAGUAACUUGAUCUUAAGUUCUAAUUUGGUAAUUCUACGUUCUGAUCCUGCUGCACGUAGCUGCUGUUAGCAGCUCAAACCCUGCAUGAUUGGUGCUACUAACUGGUUUCAUAGAAAUGCAUUUGUUUUAAUUGAUUUGGAGUCUUAUAUGGAUGAUUUUGGAGGAGAUUUCGGAGUGUUUUGGGGCUUUCCUUGCAUGUUUGGGCCUGCUGUAAAGUGCAGCUUGGCUUAGGAGAGAUUUUUGGAUCUUUUGAGAUGUUUACUGAGAUCAGUUAAGCUCUUCUUGGGACAAUUCUGUUCAAGGAAUUUCAGGUACUGAUGGUUUUAAUUGUAGCUAUUGUGCUAGGGAUGCUCUAGUAGUGUCAUGUGUUGGUAAUUUGUUUAUAAAACAAAUGAAGAGAUGCAUUGUCCCACAUCGAAAAGAUGUGAGUGCGCACGUGGACGAGAUUUAGCAUUAACCAACGAUCAUUAUUUUUAUUUAUUGAAAAUUCGGAUUUAUUUCUAUAAAACCCAUUAAUUACAAAGUUUUGUUGAAACCCCCCCCCCUGUUCACGAAAAGUUAUAAUUAUUAUUUUAUUAUUAUUAUUUAAUUCCGAAUUUCUUAUGUCUUUUCAACGUAACCUUUGAGACAUGUUCAUUUUACAACCUUUCCCGAAAGGUUGUCUUUGUUCUUUUGCAAUCUUUUGAAGAGUUGCAUUUAUUCGAAAGACAUAUAUAAGUACGUUUGUUUUGAGAUCAAAAAAUCAUCAUCUUUCAAUUUUCGUCUUCUUUCAAAAGAAAUUACAGACAUUGUUUCUAAUUGUUUCCCAUGAGAGAUCCUGGAGAAAUACUAGAAUUGCUAUCUAGUAUUCUCAUUUGAGACUUUGUUGUAUCCUGGAGGAAAUUUGCCGGUGACCAUUAGCAAUUUUGUGGGGCAAAUAAAUCCUUAAAGAAAGUGAUAUCACGCCUUAAAGUCCGACUUGAGUACUCUAACGAUCCGACUUCAUUGUUCUACCCAAUACGAAGCCAUAUUUUCCCAACAAUUUUAAGGAUUUAUUUGUGCAACAAUGAAGUUAGAGUCAAGCAAAGUCAUGGUGGACCAACAACUGCAACAUGGCUACACUUCCAUGUCGCAAAGCGCAACAGCGAAGUGCAGUACCAGAAUCAACCUUCGUGGCCAGAAAUUUAGGACUCAGGAUUGUCGUUUCAUUUGAAACCCCCACAGUUGGAUCACAUAAAUUGACGAAGUUGGAGGAUAGCAGAUUCUUGCUAAAAUUGAAUGAUACACACAGGUUUCUUCCCCAUUAAUCUAAAAAAAAAAAAAUCAGUUUGGGUUUGAGAAGGAAGUCAGGCCGUGGGGCCUACUUCCUACUUCCCUCCAGCAAUGAUCAAGGUCGACGUGUCGCUCGUAACAAGCGAUUUCUGCCGAGAUGAUAAGGAUCAUCCUCCCGUCGAUCGCGUUCUUGUCGAAAUCGGCUCUCACGCCACGUUCGCGGAUUGCGUAAAUAAAAAGAUGGACCGGAUGAGGCCUCUGUAUGUCAGGCAGCAAAGCAGCCGCGGGACAUCGAGAGGGUCGGCAAUCGCCGCUUCACAAGCAUGCGUGGACGCGCUCCAUGGGCUCGCUGACUCAUGAUGGUACUUAGAUCAUGAAAUUGAAUCAGGCGUGAAGGAGGCAAGGCAAAGCGGAGGCUAUUUGACAGAGAGGGACAAAAGAAAUUCCUCUUUUCCCUUUAUGGGAGAGAAUCAGGGUAGAGGGCAUUCGUGGCUUAGAUUGAUGGAACUUUGGAGUGGCUUUCUCGGUGAUCUCCUCCUAAACCCCAACCAUAGUCUCGAGGAUGAUCUGUUGCUCCUCGAUCCGCAAUUCAUUGAGAAGUCCAAUGACAACACCCCUUGGCAUGACAAUGGGAUUCGAAACCCGAACCCAUUUGAUGAUCCCGCCGUUUGGCACAUGUUUAAGGGACAAACAUGGUAAUGGGAACAAAGGUGCCGGUUCAUCCCAUGCAGGUUUCUCUUGAGUGAGCAAUGACGGCGAAGAAGAUUGCUUCUAUCCAUGACCAGAGGAUUGGAACUAUUUCAUGCUAAGGCUGCUCGCCAAUUGGUCAGCGCCUCCACUUCCAUACAAUUGCAAUUGUUCUCUUGUGAUUAUAGAAAUCAUUCAUACUCAUGGUGCGUUCGAUCAUUCUUCCAAUAGAAAAUAAACUUUUCUUGAUGAUUAUUCUGUGUGAGUAGUUCAAGUGUGGUCAAACACUAUCGCCAAGUUCUGUGUUUGAUCAUGCACUGAUGAUGUUUGCCAUUUGCUAAUACUUUUUGUCACGAUAUCUCUAAUGCUGGUUGGUUUUGUUUUUGACUUGAAUUAAGUCAUGUUAGUUAUUUUCUCAGUCAUUUCAAUGAUCAAAUGCGUUUUCUAAUUCAUCAUUUUCUUUGUCUUAUGUUUUAUGCCCCGUGGUUACUAAUGGUGGUUAUGGGUGAGAUGAUGCUGCUGGAUCCAAGUCCUCAAUGAUGAUUAUUACACGCAUCGGCAUAGGCUGAUGAGGUAGACACGAAAAUUUGUCGGUGGUGCGUGUCUAGCAAAAUUGCCAUGUGACGUGUACACUUACCGGGGGAAAGAUACUGUUUAGCAGAUGGUCCGGAGGCACCCUUUGAGUCUUUGGCUUGAUUGAGCGAAGGGGACGUUGAUUCUUUUUGCUCAGAUUUCAUUGAAUUGAUGGAAUCUAUUUUUUGAUUUGUUUGGCAAAAUGAGGAGAGAGAUGAUAACGCCAAAUAUGGGUUUGGAGGAACAAUGACUAGAGGGUCAUUGGGAAUACACUUUGGUAGCUAUGGAUCUCUAAAACAACAAAGAUGCUCCUCCAAAAUGGUGGGUUGCAAAUCCAAACGACCCCGCUUCCUCCGUUGCCGCUCCAAAAGCCGAGCAAGAUGCCAAAUUAUUUGGGGAGGCUCGUUCACUGGAUUGCAAAUUCACCAGCAGGAAGAAAGUGGGCAUGAUCUUCCUCGUUUGAUAUCCACGGUGGCUUUUACUUGGGAAUAAGAUUGAUCUUGUUGAUAAGAGCCUUGCCGGGGAUGGAGACAUUAAACUCUACAAAACCGAACCCCGACAGCAAGGUUGCUUGUGAAACAUGCACCAAGACCAACAUGGUCAUGGUGUUCAGAGAAAUUACCACCAAGGCCAAUGAAGACUAUGAGAAAAUUGUCCGUGACACAUGCAGGUCUAUUGGAUUUGUGUUUGAUGACGUUGGUCUUGAUGCUGAUCAGUGCCAAGGUAUGGAUCAUAUUGUAUAUUUCGGAAGGUUUCGGCUUAUAUGAUAUUGUUGAUUCCGUUCCAAGAAUUGUUUUUUCCCUUUUCAAUCCUAGUUUAUGUGCUUUUGAUACCUCCAUACUCGAUUUGCUCGCAUUUAUUGGAUUGUUAGAGAAUGUCAUUACAUGCAUGGGCUAAUAUGUAGUGUUCUAUUUAUGGAGGCAAUAUAGAGAUAUUAAAUGGGUUUUUAGGUGUCCCUUGUUUGGUUCUAAUGUGUUUUAUUUGCUGUCCUUGCGCCUCAUAGAUUUGAUUCUAUGGAAUAGCAUAAAUGAGCCAAGAGAGUAGAAUUGCAUUGAUUUACUAUUUUGAUGUAUGUAUUUCAUCGAGGAUGAAAAUUUGAUGAUGCAUAAUUUCAAUUAAUUACCUCUUGGAAUAUUCUUGAAGUGGGGUUAUGUCCAAAGGGGACUUUGGAACUAAUAUGAUUGGAAUCAUUGAGAUUAAGAAGUAUUUGACUUUCAUUUUCAAAAUGAAAGAUUUGGGUGAAACAAAUACUAUCUUAAGUGUUAAAAUUAAAAAAUAGUGGGGGUUAUUCUUUGAGCCAAAGUGAUUACAUGGAGAAGAUGUUGUAUAGAUUUAAACAUCUUGUUUUCAAAUAUAUAAGUACUCCAUUUGAUUCUUGGUGGAGAGUUUUUAAUGUGAGUGCUAUGGGUCUUUAAUGUAUGCGAUACAUUAUACUAGACCUGAUAUUACUUUUUGUAUAUGUAAGUUGAGUAAAUACUAAUAAUCCAAAUAUAGAACAUGUGAGAGUUAUCUUAUUGUUCUAUAAUAAUCUGGCUAUAUUAGAAGGAUACGCCGAUGCUAUUUGGAUUACAAGUGUGGGAGAUGAAACUUCUGAAUAGAUUUUCACAUUACGUGAACGUGUGGUUUCUUAGGCGAGGAAGAAACAAAUGUGCAUAAUUCACUAAACUAUGAAAUUUGAAUCAUUGCUUAGUAGCAACUGAGAAAGAGGCCGAAUGGAUUAGGAAUUUGUUGUUGGAUAUAAAAUUAUGACCUAAUCCCUCCUAUUUCUAUCCACUGUGAUAGUUAGGCUACUUUGGCAAGAGCCUAUAAUAGCACCUAUAAUGGUAAGUCUUAGACAUAUUAGUCUAAGACAUGAGUAUAUGAGACAAUUGAUCAAAGAUGGUACCAUAACAAUUGUCUACGUGAGGUCAAGUAAUAGUCUUGCCGAUCCCUUGACAAAGGCUUUACCAAGAGAUAUUGUAAUAAUGACCUCAUAAGAAACGGGGCUGAAACCCUUUAAUUGAAAUCACCAAUAAUGGUAACCCGACCUUUUUCUAGAACAUCACUAGUUACAAGGUUUAAUGGGUAAGAACAAGUUAUUGAAUGUGAUUGUUUGAUAUUGACGUAGCCUUGAUAUGAGAAGUCAGUAUCGUCUGUUACGUUUUGUAGGUUGGAUUGAAUUCUUAAUGAAGUAUAGUACAAACUUAUAAUGUGUUGAUAGUAACAGAAACACAUAGUAGAUACUUCACCUAUAUGAGCUUAGAAGUGGUGCCGCUUCUUACGAAAGUUAGGGUUGCUUUCUAGAGAGCUCAUGAAACAGGAUCAAGCACAAGGCCAUAAUAGUGCGGAGUAAUAUAGAACUUCUCGAUGAAACAAGAGGUUAGUGUAUGUGCGGUAUGUCCGGUUCUAUUAUAUAAAAGUACAAGUUUAAAGCCGAGCUACUUGUCACUUUGAUAGGGCUUUGAGAUGCUUGCACUAAGUAAAUGUUUAACUCGAAAGAGACAUUUAUGUAUGUAUAUAAUCUCACGGAAAUUUUGGCUGUAUAUUUCUAACGUUUUAUUUUUUGUUUUUGUUUUAUAAACAAAAGUGGGGGAUUGUUGGUAAUUUGUUUAUAAAACAAAUGAAGAGAUGCAUUGUCUCACAUCGAAAAGAUGUGAGUGCGCACGUGGACGAGAUUUAGCAUUAACCAACGAUCAUUAUUUUUAUUUAUUGAAAAUUCGGAUUUAUUUCUAUAAAAAAAUUAAUUAUAAAGUUUUGUUGAAACAGUACGACUGUUCACAAAAAGUUAUAAUUAUUAUUAUUUUAUUAUUAUUAUUUAAUUCCGAAUUUCUUAUGUCUUUUCAACGUAACCUUUGAGACAUGUUCAUUUUACAACCUUUCCCGAAAGGUUGUCUUUGUUCUUUUGCAAUCUUUUGAAGAGUUGCAUUUAUUCGAAAGACAUAUAUAAGUACGUUUGUUUUGAGAUCAAAAAAUCAUCAUCUUUCAAUUUUCGUCUUCUUUCAAAAGAAAUUACAGACAUUGUUUCUAAUUGUUUCCCAUGAGAGAUCCUGGAGAAAUACUAGAAUUGCUAUCUAGUAUUCUCAUUUGAGACUUUGUUGUAUCCUGGAGGAAAUUUGCCGGUGACCAUUAGCAAUUUUGUGGGGCAAAUAAAUCCUUAAAGAAAGUGAUAUCACGCCUUAAAGUCCGACUUGAGUACUCUAACGAUCCGACUUCAUUGUUCUACCCAAUACGAAGCCAUAUUUUCCCAACAUCAUGAUAUUUCCGAAAUCCUUUCGACGAUGGUCCACGUAAAACGGGAGGGUAUGGACCGGAUCACGAUGCCCUUUGCUCUUCAGUUGCACGAACUGAAAUACCUAGCUGUCGUUAUCAUACUCGUGGCUUUUGGUGGGCAACCUUUUCCCUGGGCACCCUAUCUAACAACGGCAGGGAAUCGGGGAGGCGCAGAAUUUCCUCGAGAUCAUUGGAGACUUAUCCGGUCAUGUCGUAAGUGUUCGGGCAAAGGGCGAAGGACUAUGGCUAUCGAAAACAUAUUUCUCGCCUCGAAAACAUAUUUCUCAAAUGUUUGAUAAAAGUCGAGAAAGAAACAACUAAUCUCUUGAUGCAAAAUAUAAAUAAUUACCCAAUAAUAUCCGUUAAAUCACCAGGACACAAUAUACGAAUCUACGAUUUUAUGAUGGUUCGAAUACAAUCACAAGGAAAGUACACAAUUACAAGAAAAGUAUUAUCAUCCACAUCAUUAANNNNNNNNNNNNNNNNNNNNNNNNNNNNNNNNNNNNNNNNNNNNNNNNNNNNNNNNNNNNNNNNNNNNNNNNNNNNNNNNNNNNNNNNNNNNNNNNNNNNAGUUAAACCUUUAUUUGAAAAUACAUAUUACUUUAUGCUUUUAUUUGAAAUAAAAUUGACUUCAUGCUCUUGUUUAAGGAAAUGACGGCAUUUAAAGCUUUUGUUUGAAACAAAGUUCAUUUCAUCUCCUUAUGUAAAAAAAUUGAAGGCGCUUCAUACCCUUAUUUGAAAUUUUCCAUAAUAAAAAAUUUAUUCUAUUGAUACUAUAGUGAGCAAUGAGUUUGGUUUUUUAGUGAUAUUAAUCCUCAUUAAAAUGGCACAAACAAAUGAGCUGUCACGUAAUUUAAGAAGGAUCUCCUAAUAAAUUCUUAAUAAAAGUAAGAUUACUUACAACAUUAUAUCCAUUUUGCAAUCUCCAUUCGACUUGCACUAAUUAAACUACAUUCCAGUCGACAUCGGAGGUUAAAUUAUCAGUGGCUAGUGAAUAUUUUAAUUUACAGUUUGUGCAAUGAGUGAAAUCCUUGUGGGAAUCAUAAUAAGAGAAAUAAGAACAUUUUAUCUACUUUAGUAGUUUCCCCGGUUUCAUGAACUCUCCAUUCUGCACGUCACUUGUUCCCUGGCAAAUUCGUCGUGCACGUUGUCAGCCGUCAAAUUGCUCGCGAUUUAUCGUCGGCCGUUGAUUGAAAUGGUAACGGAAGCAUAUCGGUCGUGGACAGAGCCCAGGAAACCUCUAGACCGACUCUGUUCUUGGUCGUUGAUUGAAAUGGUAACGGAAGCAUAUCAGUGCUGUGAAAACCCUCCGACGCUGAGCAUCACGAGUGUCGGAAUCGGAUGUGUUGCAGAGAUCGGAGGCUUGAAGGCUUACAUCGUCGGCCCCUCUGAUGCCAAGCUCGCCGUCCUCCUCGUCUCCGAUGUUGUCGGUACAAAUCCCUUUCAUGGUUUCUCGCUCAAAAUCCAAAAUUUUCGCUCCUUUUUCCGAAUCAGCCUCUGCCUUUGUGGUUGUUCCAGUUCUAUCGUUAGAUAAAAAUCUGUUCUUUUUUUUUUUUUUUUUUUUGGCGCCAGGGGGGAGGGGGGGUGGUGGGGGUGGGGUAAAGCAUUCCUUUUUUGGAUUCGAUUGCUAUGCUACAAGCAGAAUCUACUACUUCUUUUGGGUUUCAGUACUGCCAUGCCUUUGCAUAAAGUUUUUUAAUUUGUUGCGAGAAAACUUGAGCUAAGCAUGUGUUGCAGAAACCCACAUUUCUUGUGUCGUUGGGCCAUGAGUGGAUGAGUGGAGAAGAAAAGGAAAAAAAAACGAUUAUUUCAUCCUUUGUCCUCACUCUACUUCUCUGCUCUGGCCAGUCAAGCUCAUGCAUGUUCCGCUUUUAGUGGAGUUUGAGGUCAUAUUUCUCUGGCUUAAUUCUGAUGUAACUAAAUCUGUGUUUACUUUUGUGCAGGUUAUGAAGCACCAAAGCUGCGGUAAGCUGUCGUCCAUUCCCAUCCUACUGGCUGGAACUAGAGAACAAUCCCUCUCCAUGACUCCUAUUGGUCAGCUUAGUCCUGAGUCUUGACCAGUAUGUUUGUUCUUGUCCAUGUUUGCAUUUAUGCACGCUUGGUGGAACAUAUCUACCUACGUUUACUGAAAUCGACUUUGCUCAUGUUAGAUUUCAUUGCCGUAAUCUUUGAUUCUCAGGCAAUGUUAUUAUUUCAAUUUAUUGUUUAUCUCUUUGACAAGAAACGAAUGCAUGUAUGCAUUCAUAGAUCACGUUGACUGGUAUGGCACAAAUUAAUAGAGAGGUCGCACUGGGGCUAAGUUUAUUGAGGACUGGGUUAUCAAAAUAUUUGUGAACCGAAAAUGGAUGUUAUGCUAAUGAACUACAAGUUCUAAUUUAAGACUCAAAAUCUGCUUUUACUAUUAUUUCAGUGAUGACUUCCUUAGAGAAAAAGUUUACAUGUAACAUUUUCCAUUGAAAUUAGGUUUUUGUGCAAGAAACUGCCCCCAUUUAUUGACACUAACAGAUUCUAAGUGUACAAGCUUGAGCAAAGCAAACAGAACAAUCACUACUUAUAAGUUUUGUCAUGAGCAACUCAAGCAACUUCAUGAAGGAACUAUGUAUUUAAUGUUAGUGACCUAAUUGAAUAAUGUGAUUAAAUUCUCCUUCACUCUGAUCAGUUGACAUCUCGAGUCCUCUUGUAUUUGUUUUCUGCUGAUGAUUGAAGGGAACUGACUGGUCAUCUGCUCUGUCUCCCUCAAGAUUUUGCUUAUUUGGUCUGAUCAUAAACUCCUAGAUGCAUAAGCAUUUCUCAGAAUGUUCUUAAAGUAAAAGAUGUCGGCUCCAAGUGGCUCGUGUUCUAUCAAUCCUCACGAUUUAAGUGAAGAAAUCCUCCAACCUUUUCAGAACAAAAGAUAGUUGGUCCCAAACUCUGUGGGUAAUUUCUCUGCACGUUAGAUAAUAAUGAUAUCUAAAGGGGGUGCCAGUGUUUCAUGAAAUUGCUUCAUCUGUGAUGCUUUUACACAAGAUGUUAUGAUCCUUUUCUGAGUUCAGUUGUCCUGACAAUAUAAUUUUGAUAUCCUCUUGCUGUGAAGCUUUUAGCUUAUACUUAUUUUAGAUGCUUCCUAUUACUUAGGUACAGUUUUCUGGAUUUUCUCAUUGAUAGAUCUGCAUCAUCACUGAAUUCUGUGCUGUGGUGGCUUCUCAUCAAAAACAGCAUUUUAAUCCACAUUUAUUAGCUUUUCGAAUUUUGCAAGUGACAUCAUAUUGGUUGUUAUUUUGGUGCAUAUAGCUGUGCUCAACAUGCCAAUGAUUCUUUACAUACUAUAUAAACUUAACCUUGUAUGCCUGUGAUUUCAAGGAAG